rnacentral:lncRNA from 1 species
UCACGAUUCUUUGGCCAAUCUCAUAUAUAUGUCUUGUUUUAUUGUUUUUUCUUCCUUUACAUCUUUAUUACUCAUUCUCAGUUUAGCAGAGACCCGUGUUCUUUUUGGGGACCCAUAUGACAUAUUCUUAUAUUAAUGACAGGUGUCUUUUUGCUUGACAGGGCUCCUUCUCUUGUCUUAUGGACUCUGAAGUAUGAAGAACCCCAAACUUUCAGUUCUGUGUAUGCACUUUCCCUGGGGUGGAUGCAGUUUUGUCUGUCAGCAUUUUCAGUGGAUCAUGGCUGGUCUCCGCCUGGAACACUGCAGAGACCCGGCAGAGAAUUCUCAUUUGGUGGCUGUGCUUGCAGAGGCAGAUGUGGUCUCGUGUCUCCAGAAGUAUUCUUUCUAGCCUCUGAUUUCUCAAGAGGAGAGAGAAAGACUUGAAUAUGAAAGAAAGGAAGGAAGGGAGGAAAAAAAGAAGAAAGAAAGUGUUUUCAUCUUAUUGUGAACAACUGACUGUGAAAAAGGAAAUGUAGUGUGUAGUGUGUAUUCGAUGCCCUCA